ACAUGUCAUAUAUAGGUUGAAUUUGUACACUUUAUCAAACUUAAGACCACAGAUCCAGGAAAGUCUUCUUCAAUGAAAAUUAAAAAUUCGAAUGUCGAAGAAAUACGCGGAUACUAAUUGGACAUGAUAAAUAUUAGGCAACACACCAUUGCAGAAAUGGGAAUAGCUAACAUUCAUGUGGUUUCUGUAGAAUAGGAAGGAAUUAUUAUGAUCUUGUUAUCAUAAACAUUUCAACUUAACAUUCAUUCUUCUUGAAAGAGGAUCUUUCAACAACAAAAAAUACGAUUUAAAAAUACCUUAACUUGUAUUUGAAAUCUGUCAUUACCAGUGCCUGUGCUAUUUUGAUGCUUAUAUAGACAUGUAUGAGCAAAUAUGCUGUCUGUGAAUAAAGUUUUACUUUCCAGUAUUAUUUGCCUUCAUCAUUUGAAUUUAAAAAAAUAAAAUGAUUGAAAUGAUGUACCUAAAUUCAGACUGUUAACCGCUGAAUCAAGAUAUUUCUUUGUGAUCAAUUUGAACUUGCAGUGAAGUGUGAGUUGUUUGUUCAUGAUGAAAGCCUCACUGUGACUUUGAAAUGAAAAACAGCAACACAACCCAUCUGCAAUUGCUUUAAUGUUAUCACGUACGUAAAAAGAUGUCGUGUCAUGGAUAUUUACGACAUAUCACUUUAUUCCUUCACUAGAUAGAGUAAUUAAUGAGUUGAUAUAUUUCCUU
rnacentral:lncRNA from 1 species